rnacentral:sRNA from 1 species
GGAAGUGCGGGCGAGCGCGGGUCCCCGGGUCUGACAGGAGCAGCCUGCGGGCACCGCGGCGGUGAUUGGAGGCGGGAGAGGGUCCGGAGGUGGGAGAGGGUCCGUAGCCGCGCCGCCCUGCCCCGCCAUGGGCCUCCUGUCGGACCCGGUUCGCCGGCGCGCGCUCGCCCGCCUCGUGCUGCGCCUCAACGCGCCGCUGUGCGUGCUGAGCUACGUGGCGGGCAUCGCCUGGUUCUUGGCGCUGGUUUUCCCGCCGCUGACCCAGCGCACUUACAUGUCGGAGAACGCCAUGGGCUCCACCAUGGUGGAGGAGCAGUUUGCGGGCGGAGACCGCGCCCGGGCUUUUGCCCGGGACUUCGCUGCCCACCGCAAGAAGUCGGGGGCUCUGCCAGUGGCCUGGCUUGAACGGACGAUGCGGUCAGUAGGGCUGGAGGUCUACACGCAGAGUUUCUCCCGGAAACUGCCCUUCCCAGAUGAGACCCACGAGCGCUAUGUAUUGGGGGAGUGGGGUGUGCCUGGGCCCAGAAAGCACCUUGAGGGAGGGGUAUGGGCUGGGUAUCACCUUGCGGGGGUGUCAUGGGGCCAGGAAGCUCGGUGGGAGGGAAAUCCCUGGUGGGCAUUGGAGGGCUAGGAAACGGGGGGGGCCUUCAGCCCCCUACCAGAAAGUUACACUGAGGUUCCCCCCACCGAUACUGCAUACAGAUGGUGUCAGGCACCAAUGUGUACGGCAUCCUGCGGGCCCCGCGUGCUGCCAGCACCGAGUCACUUGUGCUCACCGUGCCCUGUGGCUCUGACUCUACCAACAGCCAGGCUGUGGGGCUGCUGCUGGCACUGGCUGCCCACUUCCGGGGUGAGUCUCAGGGCUGCUGGCCAUGGAGGGCUUUGGUCAGUGCCCCAGACCCUGCUGAUCCUGCUUCUCGUCUCCAGGGCAGAUUUAUUGGGCCAAAGAUAUCAUCUUCCUGGUAACAGAACAUGACCUCCUGGGCACUGAAGCUUGGCUUGAAGCCUACCACGAUGUCAAUGUCACUGGCAUGCAGUCGUCCCCCCUGCAGGGCCGAGCUGGGGCCAUUCAGGCGGCUGUGGCCCUGGAGCUGAGCAGUGAUGUGGUCACCAGCCUCGAUGUGGCUGUGGAGGGGCUCAACGGGCAGCUGCCCAACCUUGACCUGCUCA